rfam:Lepisosteus oculatus linkage group LG4, whole genome shotgun sequence.
AUUGUUCUCUGCCUUUUGGCUAAGCUCAAGUGUAGUACCUGUUCAUAUCAGUUAAAUAUCUGAUACGUCUUCAUUGCUGACUACUGGCAUUUACAAGAUUCAACCAAGAAUUCUUAGGUCUACAGCAAUCUACUGUAUCUGCACUCCAUACUGUGUGUUUACUGGCUGA